rnacentral:lncRNA from 1 species
UUUCUAUGUCAUUCGUUGAAUGACGUGCUAACUUGCUGCAAUCAAAUAAAUGUAGGCUCUCAUUGAUUGGCCAUUGCUUUCUUGUUACAGUGCAUGCAUAUUAUUUUUCUUCCAAUUCAACUGUUCACUAAUAGUUCUAUACGAGGCUCUCAUUGAUUGGCCCUAUAUGAUAUAGUUUAUUGUUAUUUACAUUUUGGUUAUACUUAGUUCCCAUAAUUAAGGUGUG